rnacentral:rRNA from 1 species
GACGAACGCUGGCGGCGUGCUUAACACAUGCAAGUCGAACGCUGAAGCUCAGCUUUUGUUGGGUGGAUGAGUGGCGAACGGGUGAGUAACACGUGAGUAACCUGCCCCCUUCUUUGGGAUAACGCCCGGAAACGGGUGCUAAUACUGGAUAUUCACUGGUCUUCGCAUGGGGGUUGGUGGAAAGGGUUUUUCUGGUGGGGGAUGGGCUCGCGGCCUAUCAGCUUGUUGGUGGGGUGAUGGCCUACCAAGGCUUUGACGGGUAGCCGGCCUGAGAGGGUGACCGGUCACAUUGGGACUGAGAUACGGCCCAGACUCCUACGGGAGGCAGCAGUGGGGAAUAUUGCACAAUGGGCGCAAGCCUGAUGCAGCGACGACGCGUGAGGGAUGGAGGCCUUCGGGUUGUGAACCUCUUUCGCUCAUGGUCAAGCCGCAACAAUGGUUGUGGUGAGGGUAGUGGGUAAAGAAGCGCCGGCUAACUACGUG